GCUUAUAAAACUAAAGUAGUAAAAUAAGUUAAAACUAUUUAAAUUUGGCGGUUGUUAUAUAUUAGAGAAACUUGUUUAUUAAUCGACAAUACUCGUUAAUUUUAACUUCAUUUUAAAGCCAAUAUACCUCCGUUUAAGAAUUACCCUAAUAUAAUAAUCAAAAAUAAAAUUUUAAUAAAAUCAGGUCAAGGUGUAGCCAAUAAUUAAGAACAAAUAAGUUACUUAUAAAGUUCAUUUUAUGAUUUUUAUCAAAAAGAGAUCAAUGAAAAAGAAUCUAAAAGCAUAAUUUAAUUAAAAAUUAAAUUUUAAACCGUAAAUAACAAUGU
rnacentral:rRNA from 1 species